rnacentral:lncRNA from 1 species
GUGGAAAGCAUUUUUAGGCAGAUAUUAUAAAACAUAAUUAUUGUCAAAAAGUUCAUUUAUAAAAUUUUGAUUCCACUCACAUGAAUUUAAUACAUGUGAUAACUCAGAAGACAGCUGUUUUAUUCAAUCAACAAUUUUAAACUGGUUUUAUCUAACAAAUAUUUCCCAAAGUCACAUGAACUUAAAAAAAAUUGGGGUUAAUUCCUAUAUUUCUGAGAGCUUUAUAAAUAUUUAAUUGAUAUAAGCAAUUUGUCCCUAAGCCUGUCAGAAUAGAGCUUCUUUAUAGGGUUUUAUAAAUUAAUUGGGUAAUACCAUCAGAAGAUAGGAAAGUAUCACAUAUACAUAACAUACAUAUGUACAUACAUAAACAUACAGAUAGAUGCAAAUGGAGACCUUAUAGCUUCCAUUUUAAAAUUGUAGCCAUGAGUCAGGUAAACACAGUAAUACAGAACUCUGGUUUAUAUGAAAUGGUUGGCUCUCGUCUUUACUGCACUUUAAUUUUUUUAUCCAAAUUGUGUUUUUGGUGAAUGGAACAAGUUGCUACCUGACCAAUGUGAGAGCAAAAAUAUUUUUUACCAAUAUUAUGGAGGACAUUUUUAAGAUAUUGUAGUUGCUUUUGGAGGCUCUUGAGUCCCAUAGAGUCUCCAACGGGGCUCCAGUGAGUGUAGGUAGUUGAGAGCCUGGAGUGGGAAGGGAAAAGUCUGGCAGGGCUGAACAAAAAUGUGGAGGAGGUGGGGGUUUAAAGGAGGGCAUAUCAAAAAUGGAAGGAGGAAUGGAGGCAAAAGGAAGAGAGAGAUCUUAGAGAUGCCACUUUAGGGAAGUCCCAAAUUAUCCUUUGUAAGAUCAUAUCAACAAGAAGGGAAGCAGACAGAGUUAGUGCCUAGGUGGUGGAGCACAUAGUCAGCAGGGGUUUCAGAAGGAGGUUGGGGUGAGGUUCAGUCAACUGAGAAGCUGCCAUGUUCAUAACUCAUGAUACCUCACAAACAAUGGAGCCUGGCACUCUAAUCCCAACUCUAUGUCUUAAAACAGGAAAGCCUGGGAAUCUAACUCAGCCUCUUUCUUACAGAGAAACCUGAGAUUCCAACCCAGCCUUUUGUUUGCCUGGGAUUAUAGCCCAGUUCUUACAAGCAGAGAAGCCUAGGACACUAACCCAGCUUCAAGAGUAUACUCAGAAUCUCAAGAAUCACAAUCUGUGCUGCCCAUUCUUCAACAGACUGUCAUCUGGAGGCCUGGAUUGGAUCAGGAGUCGGGCUCACCAAUGGAGCCCCAAUCAGUCAGUCAGGAGUGAAGAUGAAAGCUUCAAAGAGUGCCCUUCUCCCACCUCUACCUUCCCCAACCAUAACCUCCUUCAAGAACCGGUUCAGAUAAAGCCUACUCAGGUAACACCCCUAUAGCCCCAGCUCUCUCCG